AACGAACUCUUCGGAGUUAGUGGCGCACGGGUGCGUAACGCGUGGGAAUCUGCCCUUGGGUACGGAAUAACUCAGAGAAAUUUGUGCUAAUACCGUAUAAUGUCUUCGGACCAAAGAUUUAUCGCCAAAGGAUGAGCCCGCGUAAGAUUAGCUAGUUGGUGGGGUAAAAGCCUACCAAGGCGACGAUCUUUAGCUGGUCUGAGAGGAUGAUCAGCCACACUGGGACUGAGACACGGCCCAGACUCCUACGGGAGGCAGCAGUGGGGAAUAUUGGACAAUGGGCGAAAGCCUGAUCCAGCAAUGCCGCGUGAGUGAUGAAGGCCUUAGGGUUGUAAAGCUCUUUUACCCGGGAUGAUAAUGACAGUACCGGGAGAAUAAGCUCCGGCUAACUCCGUGCCAGCAGCCGCGGUAAUACGGAGGGAGCUAGCGUUGUUCGGAAUUACUGGGCGUAAAGCGCGCGUAGGCGGUCUUUUAAGUCAGAGGUGAAAGCCCGGGGCUCAACCCCGGAAUAGCCUUUGAAACUGGAAGACUUGAAUCUUGGAGAGGUCAGUGGAAUUCCGAGUGUAGAGGUGAAAUUCGUAGAUAUUCGGAAGAACACCAGUGGCGAAGGCGACUGACUGGACAAGUAUUGACGCUGAGGUGCGAAAGCGUGGGGAGCAAACAGG
rnacentral:rRNA from 1 species